UACGAAGGGGGCUAGCGUUGCUCGGAAUCACUGGGCGUAAAGCGCACGUAGGCGGAUCUUUAAGUCAGGGGUGAAAUCCCAAGGCUCAACCUUGGAACUGCCUUUGAUACUGGGGAUCUCGAGUCCGGAAGAGGUGAGUGGAACUGCGAGUGUAGAGGUGAAAUUCGUAGAUAUUCGCAAGAACACCAGUGGCGAAGGCGGAGCUCACUGGCCCGGAAGUCGGAACGCUG
rnacentral:rRNA from 1 species